GGGGCUGAUUCUGGAUUCGACGGGAUUUGCGAAACCCAAGGUGCAUGCCGAGGGGCGGUUGGCCUCGUAAAAAGCCGCAAAAAAAUAGUCGCAAACGACGAAACCUACGCUUUAGCAGCUUAAUAACCUGCUUAGAGUCCUCUCUCCCUAGCCUCCGCUCUUAGGACGGGGAUCAAGAGAGGUCAAACCCAAAAGAGAUCGCGCGGAUGCCCUGCCUGGGGUUGAAGCGUUAAAACGAAUCAGGCUAGUCUGGUAGUGGCGUGUCCGUCCGCAGGUGCCAGGCGAAUGUAAAGACUGACUAAGCAUGUAGUACCGAGGAUGUAGGAAUUUCGGACGCGGGUUCAACUCCCGCCAGCUCCACCA
rnacentral:tmRNA from 1 species